UCGAUUUCUUUCCCCCUUUCCAGAACCCAUUCAUUUCCUCCUCUAGAUUUCUUCUUCCCCCAGAAAUCCCCUUCGUGGCCCAUCACAGACCUAAUUCUUGCAACUCAUUCCAUCGUUUACAAUCGAAGUAGACCCACGAAACCAACGUAAGUGGUCCUCAAGCACGAUGUCUGUAGAAUCAUUCGUCUUCAUCAAGCACGGCAACCAAGCACGAUUCCUCUUCCUCAAGCACGAUUUGUCUUCCUCAAGCAAUAUUUCCCCCAUUCCCACGAAAGCCCCACCUUCCCACUCGAAACCGCAGUCCAUUCGAAACCGAAACCCUAACCAUUAUCCAACCCACGACGUAAUCCCUUGAGGUAAUUUGUCAAAAUCUAACUCUAACCCUAACCCUAACCCUAACUCUAACCCUAACCCUAACCCUAAUCCCUUUGGUAUUGAACAGGUUGUUGGGUACUUUGCUUGAGAACAGCAGAGUGCUAGAGUGGAUCUGUCACAGGCCAUCAUCUCAUCGAGGAGAUGCAAUUUGGAUUGGAUGGAUCAUAACGGGUGUAACCUGACGGGGAUGGAUCACAACUGGCGCAAUGAGAUGUUUUAAUUUUAAUAUUCAGAUACUAUGUUUUGGAAUGUAAGUCAUGGAAUGUAUUGGAACUGUGUAUUGGAAUGUAUUUUGAUGUGAGUGUAUUGGACUAUAUUGGAACUGUGUACUGGAAUGUAAGUGUGCUUUGAAUGGCCAUAUAUAGCAAGUUGGAGUUUUGUGUA